GGGGCGGAGAUCGACGACGAAGUAUUCCUAUCCUUGCUGAAAACCUUAUAACCCAAAACUUUGAAUUCUUUGUCAAAGGCGAAAUACAAACCGAAGUAAAAUUGGAUCCGGCCUGUCCAGUUUCAUCAAUAAUUUACGUUGCACGUCCUGAUGAGACGUCGAUAUCCAGUAAUGGUUUCCGAAAAACCCAAAUUUCCAAUGAGGUUGAUAUUUUCAGUCAGAUUGUAAACGCUGCAACGACUGAGAGCGCCGAAAUUUCCGUUUAGUAGCAGAGUGCAAUCAGAAAAACUGCUUCGAUAAACCGUCGUCGACAACUUUAGUUAAUGAAUUGGUUGCGUAGUUAUGUAAUUGAGACUUUCUCCUACAACCUCCGACCAGAAACACUAAAC